UACGUAGGGUGCAAGCGUUAAUCGGAAUACUGGGCGUAAAGCGUGCGCAGGCGGUUUUGUAAGUUUGUCGUGAAAUCCCCGGGCUCAACCUGGGAAUGGCGAUGAAGACUGCAAGGCUAGAGUUUGGCAGAGGGGGGUAGAAUUCCACGUGUAGCAGUGAAAUGCGUAGAUAUGUGGAGGAACACCGAUGGCGAAGGCAGCCCCCUGGGUCAAAACUGACGCUCAUGCACGAAAGGCGUGGGGAGCAAACAGG
rnacentral:rRNA from 1 species